GGGGGGGGGGGGGGGACAGCAGACAGCCGAGGAGGAGGAGUCAUCUGAGGACAGAAGAGGGAGCUAAUGCGGCUAACGGCCCUGCAGAGGACGAGAGAGGAAGAGAGAGACGGACAUCAUUCACAGACACACUGCAAGAGGACCUGCUCCUUUGGGUUGUGGACUGUCUCCACAGUGUUAGAAGCUGCUUCUUCAAAAUGUCGACCACAUUCCUCACAACCGAAGAACGUGGAGAUGUAACGACGCAUCACCUGCAGCACCGGGGACGCUUUGGCCUCCAGACCUGCAGACAGGGCAGUGGGCGUGGCCUCAUGCUGGAUGGUCAGGACGUGGAACAGAGUCCAUAGAGAGCACGGGUAACCUCUAAGCCCCGCCCUGCUGCCCUGGCAACCAACCCAGCGCAGCUCUGCACCGAGGAA